GAUGAACGCUAGCGGGAGGCCUAACACAUGCAAGCCGAGCGGUAUUGUUUCUUCGGAAAUGAGAGAGCGGCGUACGGGUGCGGAACACGUGUGCAACCUGCCUUUAUCUGGGGGAUAGCCUUUCGAAAGGAAGAUUAAUACUCCAUAAUAUAUUGAACGGCAUCGUUUAAUAUUGAAAGCUCCGGCGGAUAGAGAUGGGCACGCGCAAGAUUAGCUAGUUGGUGAGGUAACGGCUCACCAAGGCGAUGAUCUUUAGGGGGCCUGAGAGGGUGAUCCCCCACACUGGUACUGAGACACGGACCAGACUCCUACGGGAGGCAGCAGUGAGGAAUAUUGGUCAAUGGGUGCAAGCCUGAACCAGCCAUCCCGCGUGAAGGACGACUGCCCCUAUGGGUUGUAAACUUCUUUUGUAUAGGGAUAAACCUACUCUCGUGUAGGGUAGCUGAAGGUACUAUACGAAUAAGCACCGGCUAACUCCGUNCCAGCAGCCGCGGU
rnacentral:rRNA from 1 species